rnacentral:misc_RNA from 1 species
UUGAAUAAACUUGGUUGGGUUGUUGCUGGCUCUCAGGAGCAUGUGCACGCUCAUUCCAUUUUUAACCACCUGUGCACUCACUGUAGGCUUGAAUGAACUUUUCGAGGAAACUCGGUAUGAGAACUGCUAGAAGCUGUUCUUGCAUUCCAGGUCUAUGUUUUAAACAUAUACUCCAUAACAAGUUACAGAAUGUUAAUUAUUGGCCUUCUGUGCCUUUAUAAACCUAAUACAACUUUCAACAACGGAUCUCUUGGCUCUCGCAUCGAUGAAGAACGCAGCGAAAUGCGAUAAGUAAUGUGAAUUGCAGAAUUCAGUGAAUCAUCGAAUCUUUGAACGCACCUUGCGCUCCUUGGUAUUCCGAGGAGCAUGCCUGUUUGAGUGUCAUGAAAUUCUCAACCUUUCUGGCUUUGAUUAGCUGGUCAGGCUUGGAUUGUGGGAGUUGCUGGCUUCUCUGGGAGAUCAGCUCUUCUUAAAUGCAUUAGCAAAAUUCUUGCUGAAUAUCUUUGGUAUGAUAAUUAUUUAUACUAUUGAGACACAGUUUUUUCCACUUUGUUCGGAUUAGGCUCCUCUUGGAUCCAUCCAAGUGUUCGAUUCAACCGCUCUGAAGCACUAGCUUAGGCACAGAUGUUAACUCGUCUGAUGGUGUUACAUAUUUCAGGUUGACGAAGCGAAGUGUUCUUCGGAACGCUCACGAGAGCAAGCACUGUAUCAAUCUCUUGUGGGGUUGUUUGUGCACUGUCAUAUUCCUGUACCUACCCUAGCUACUAUGUGGCUUUGAUGGGUCUGGUCAAACCAUGACCUGAACAUAUCCUUAGUGGAAUGGAUAUUUGCUUCUAAUAUUGUUUCUAGGAACAAACCUUUUUUUGACAAU